CGGCUACCAUGCAGUCGAGCGGUCAUCCUUGUGGUGUCUGCGGCAUACGGGUGAGUAACGCGUGUGAACGUGCCCUUCGGUUCGGAAUAACUCGGGGAAACUUGAGCUAAUACCGGAUACUCCCUUCUGGGGAAUCGCUUGCUGCCGAAGGAUCUGCCCACAUCUGAUUAUCUGGUUGGUGAUGUUACGGCUCACCCUUGCUACGAUCAUAAUGUGGUCUGAAAGGAUGAUCAGCCACACUGGGACUGAGACACGACCCCAGACUCCUACGGGAGGCAGCAGUGGGGAAUAUUGGACAAUGGGGGCAACCCUGAUCCUGCCAUGCCGCGUGAGUGAUGAUGCCUUACGGUUGUAAAGCUCUUUUCUCCGGGACGAUAAUGACGGUACCGGAGGAAUAAGCCCCGGCUAACUUCGUGCCAGCAGCCGCGGUAAUACCAAAGGGGCUAGCGUUGCUCGCAAUCACUGGGCGUAAAGGGCGCGUAUGCGGUUUUUUAAGUCGGGGGUGAAAGCCUGUGGCUCAACCACGUAAUGUCCUUCGAUACUGGAAGACUUGAGACCGGAAGAGGACAGCGGAACUGCGAGUGUGAGGUGAAAUUCAUAGAUAUUCGCGAGAUCACCAUUGACUGAGGCGACUGUCUGAUCAGGUUCUGACGCUGAGGCGCGARAGCGUGSAGCAAWCAGGAUUAGAUWCCYUSGUAGUCCACGCUGUAARMGAUGAAUGCUAGCMRYAKKGSUGCAUGCACCUSUGUGRCGCCGCUMACKCAUUAAKCAUUCCGCBGRGUGAGUACGGUMRCAAGAUUAAWACUCAAAGGAAUUGACGGGGGCCCCCACAAGCGGUGCAGCAUGUGUUUUAAUUUGAAGCAAGGAGCAGAACCUUACCAUCCCUCGUCAUGCAGAGCUAUCCGGAGAGAUCCGGGUUCCCCUUCGGGGGCGCGCACACAGUUCAUGCAUGGCGUCAGUCAGUUCGUGUCGAGAGAUGUUGGGUUAAGUCCCGCAACGAGCGCAACCCACGUCGUCAGUUGCCAUCAUUUGGUUGGGCACUUGGGGGAGACUGCCGGUGAUAAGCCGCGAGGAAGGGGAGGAUGACAUCAAGUCAUCAUGGCCAUUUCGGGAUGGGCUACCCACGUGCAACAAUGGCGGUGACAAUGGGCAGUGAAGGGGGGACGAGGAAAGAAUAAACAAAAGCUGUCUCAUUUGGGAGAGCUCUGCACAUCUCGGUCGCAAGAUGGGGGAAUCGAUUGUAAUCGGGGAUCAGCACGCCACGGGGAAUACGUUCCCGGUCCUUGUACACACCGCCCGUCACUCCAUAAGAUUGGUAACACCUGAACGGCGCUGCGCCAACCGCAAGGAGCAGCGUCCACGUU
rnacentral:rRNA from 1 species